rnacentral:rRNA from 1 species
CAGCAGUGAGGAAUAUUGGUCAAUGGGCGAGAGCCUGAACCAGCCAAGUCGCGUGAAGGAUGAAGGUUCUAUGGAUUGUAAACUUCUUUUGUCCGAGGGUAAAAAAGGCUACGUGUAGCUUCUUGCAAGUAUCGGACGAAUAAGCAUCGGCUAACUCCGUGCCAGCAGCCGCGGUAAUACGGAGGAUGCGAGCGUUAUCCGGAUUUAUUGGGUUUAAAGGGUGCGUAGGUGGUUUGUUAAGUUUGUGGUGAAAGCGUGCGGCUCAACCGUACCAAGCCAUGAAAACUGGCGAACUUGAGUGCAAACGAGGUAGGCGGAAUGUGAUGUGUAGCGGUGAAAUGCUUAGAUAUGUCACAGAACCCCGAUUGCGAAGGCAGCUUACCAGCAUGCAACUGACACUGAGGCACGAAAGCGUGGGUAUCAAACAGGAUUAGA